GGAAAAGCUGGUUCUUUGAGGCAUUAGUGCCGUGACCUCUCAGGCUGAUGGCUUUCUGAUUAAAGUCGUUAUUCCUGCCCCAGGAACUUGCCUCCCGAUGUACUGGUCUUUCGUGUGGUGAGCAGAAGUCCUUAUCAACUCUGUCAGAAGUGACCGGACCAUCUCUCCUGUGGAGUGGAAUCUCAGGUGACGCCAGUGGUAAAGAACCCACCUGCCAACACAAGAGACAUAAGAGAUGCAGACAAAUGUGUCCUCCAGUCUUUGAAGAUGGCUCCCGAAAGCUGAAAACUCCCUCCCCUAUAGCAGCUAAAAUCCAAAACAAGCACUCUGAAAAGACCCAAAUUCACACUUGGAAGUUUGGAAAUUAAAAAAUCACAAACCAAGCCACAACCUACUUAGAUCACCUGAGAAUGGGCUCCUCUUCUUCCCUGGACCUUGUGAUUUCCACUCAGCCCUCCACUUCUACCAUAACCUCAGUGGGCUUCCUGGAGUCCUGCCAAGAGAGCCAGCUGCCACUUGAAUCCUGGGACUAAUCUUCACCCCCGAUGAGGGACAUACAAGAUCGCUCAAGUGUGGCAAUAAUUCACUAGUUCAACCUCCAGGAAAGAAGGCAAAUUGAGGCACUGUUACUUCCUUUUGGCCAGGAACUACUUGGGACCAGCAGCGAGUUCCUUAGACCUUCACUAAACUAUGCCAAGUAGUCAUGUAUGGAUGUGAGAGUUGGACCACAAAGAAAGCUGAGUGCUGAAGAACUGAUGCUUUUGAAGUGUGGUGUUGGAGAAGGCUCUUGAGAGUCCCUUGGACUGCAGGAGAUCCAACCAGUCAAUCCUAAAGGAAAUCAGUCCUGAAUAUUCAUUGGAAGGACUGAUGCUGAAGCUGAAGCUACAAUACUUUGCCCACCUGAUGUGAAGAACUGACUCAUUGGAAAAGACCCUGAUGCUAGAAAAGAUUGAAGGCAGGAGGAGAAGGGGGUGACAGAGGAUGAGAUGGUUGGAUGUCAUCACUGACUCAGUGGAUGUGAGUCUGAGCAAGCUCCAGGAGUUGGUGAUAGACAGGGAAGCUUGGCGUGCUACAGUCCAUGGGGUCACAAAGAGUCAGACACGACUCAGAGACUAAACUGAAUAUCUUUUGGGGGAGUAGGGGCAGAGAGAGCCUUUACUGAAUUUUUUAAAAUUUUAUUGUAGUAUAGUUGACUUACAAUGUUGUGUUAGUUUCAGGUGUAUAGCAA
ensembl:lncRNA